rnacentral:rRNA from 1 species
UACGGGGGGAGCAAGCGUUGUUCGGAUUUACUGGGCGUAAAGGGCGCGUAGGCGGCGCAACAAGUCACUUGUGAAAUCUCCGGGCUUAACCCGGAGCGGCCAAGUGAUACUGUCGUGCUAGAGUGCGGAAGGGGCUACUGGAAUUCUCGGUGUAGCGGUGAAAUGCGUAGAUAUCGAGAGGAACACCUGCGGCGAAGGCGGGUAGCUGGGCCGACACUGACGCUGAGGCGCGAAGCCAGGGGAGCGAACGGG